rnacentral:rRNA from 1 species
CGGACGGGUGAGGAAUACAUCGGAAUUUGCCCAGUCGUGGGGGAUAACGUAGGGAAACUUACGCUAAUACCGCAUACGACCUAACGGUGAAAGCGGGGGAUCGCAAGACCUCGCGCGAGUGGAUGAGCCGAUGUCGGAUUAGCUAGUUGGCGGGGUAAUGGCCCACCAAGGCGACGAUCGGUAGCUGGUCUGAGAGGACGACCAGCCACACUGGAACUGAGACACGGUCCAG